GCGGCGUGCCUACCAUGCAAGUCGUACGAGAAAAUCCGCUUCGGCGGGUGAGUAGAGUGGCGCACGGGUGCGUAACGCGUGGAUAAUCUGCCUUUAAGCCGGGAAUAACCCAUCGAAAGGUGGGCUAAUACCCGAUAAUGCUAUGGAGCUUCGGUUUUAUAGCCAAAGAGAGCCUCUGCUUGCAAGCCCUCACUUAGAGAUGAGUCCGCGUACCAUUAGCUAGUUGGCAGGGUAAUGGCCUACCAAGGCGACGAUGGUUAGCUGGUCUGAGAGGAUGAUCAGCCACACUGGAACUGAGACACGGUCCAGACUCCUACGGGAGGCAGCAGUGAGGAAUAUUGCGCAAUGGGGGCAACCCUGACGCAGCAACGCCGCGUGAGUGAGGAAGGUUUUCGGAUCGUAAAGCUCUGUCGGGUGGGAAGAAGUGUAUGGAGGUUAAUGAGCCUUUGUACUUGACGGUACCGCCAAAGGAAGCAGCGGCUAACUCCGUGCCAG
rnacentral:rRNA from 1 species